AAAACGGUGUCGUUUCGGCAGAAGGAAGAAUUCAAAAGGUCGACGCCAAAACGACGUCGUUUGAGGGAGCCCCCAGAGCCCCAAAACGGUGCGUUCAGGAGAGGGCCAAGCGGACCAAGGAAGCGGGCCAGGCAGACCUCCGCGCAGCCCAGACAACUUGGGCCAUCCUUCCGGCCCAAGCAAGGUGAGGCCUUACCCAUUUCUUGUGGAUUUGGGCCUAUCUAGUUUAUUUUAAUUGUUUGCUUAGCUUUAAUAAAGAUAUGUAAAUAAUAAAAAAUAUUAAUAUUAUAAAUAUAUUUG
rnacentral:lncRNA from 1 species